UACGUAGGGUGCGAGCGUUAAUCGGAAUUACUGGGCGUAAAGCGUGCGCAGGCGGUUCGUUAAGACAGAUGUGAAAUCCCCCGGGCUUAACCUGGGAACUGCAUUUGUGACUGGCGAGCUAGAGUAUGGCAGAGGGGGGUAGAAUUCCACGUGUAGCAGUGAAAUGCGUAGAGAUGUGGAGGAAUACCGAUGGCGAAAGCGGCUCACUGGACCAUUACUGACGCUGAUGUACGAAAGCUAGGGGAGCAAACAGGG
rnacentral:rRNA from 1 species